ensembl:snoRNA
ACCUCCUACAAAGGCGUGUCUUGGUUCCUUGUCUUUGGACACGUAAGAAUUGGAGGCAGAAACAUUGUGGAUUUGGUGACAUCUGGGCCAGCCUGCUCCUUGCAGGCUCCAGAUCAACCAUCUCACAUAA